CAAAGUUGGUGCACUUCCCCCCGGUAAUGUCCAGCAGGAUGGCGAACAUACCGGCGACGAUGCCGAUUAUGAUGUGGCCUGCAGGUCCUGGGGCAAGGCCAGGAGGGAGUCGUAGACCUUACACUGCAUCUGGCCCGUACUCUGGGUCACACAGUUCAUCCAUAAGCUUUCCCAGAUGACCUGAGCAGUGACUAUUUGGCUCCGCUGUUACCUUCCACAUGGGCAGAGCACAGAUGAUGAUGCUUCCCAGCCAACCGAUGAUUGCCAGGGCUAUGCCCAGCAUCUGUAGUCCAGCUGACACCAUCCUGAUGGAGCCCUGGUAGUAUGGACUGAUUGAGCUGCUGGAAGGAGAGAGAAAGGGUGACAGGAGAGUAUAGAGUGGAGAGUUUGACAAUGACAAGCUCACUUCCUCUACAUCUCUGAAUUAUCAGGUUUACUUUGAUAAAGGGACAGAACAGGAGUUUUGUCAUCGGUCUCUCUCUCUCUCUCUCGGGUGACACUCGUUUCCUAAGCCAUCUCACCUGACCAUAUUACUCUCCUAACACACACACACACAAACGGCAACUUUGUCUGAACAUCAAAUCCUCAGGGCUGUAUUCAUAAACAAGAGUUGCUGAUUGACAUAGACAAACCAGGUCUAAACGGCAUGUUCACGAGAAGCCAGAAGAGUUUAUCAAUGCAUAGGGUAAGUUCCCUCAUUACUGUUAUCAUCUCUAACACUGUCUGUUGGUUAAUUAGCCUCUCGUAUACCUUUUUCAAUUCUUGAUGCUCUUUUUUUGCAGGAAUCUUCCAGCUUGGAUGGAGGAGGGAACAAAGAGAAGGUGUACAGAAGUUAUCCAGCCUGAUGACUAAGAAAUUUCCUGAAACAUGUCCAUGACCUAAUGCAUGGCCUCUACAGCAGUGCUUGGUCCCCCACUCAGUUACCAGUGACUUAUUCUGCCACAUCCCCUCCUUAAAUCAUUAAGUUGUGUGCAAAAUGUUUUUUUUCUUUCUGUUUGAUACUCUGAUCUUCAAUGUGUAUUGAUUCCUACUAACCAGCUUUGUAAGAGCUAGGUUUUCCUAGCUAUGCUGAUGAUCAUGAAUGUUUUUCUCUGCAUCAGGUCUCAUUGAGAAUGGAAUUCCCCAAAAA
rnacentral:lncRNA from 1 species